UUUAAGUGUAACCAUGAAUUUUCGUGUCUAAUUUUGAUCGUCCGUCUUAUUUGAAAAUUUUUUAUAAUUAGUAUUUUUAUUGUUAUGAGAUGAUAAAACAUGAAUAGUACUUUAUGUGUGACUUAUAUUUCUAAAAAUUUUUAAAUAAGACGGACGAUCAAAGUUGAACACGGAAAAUCAUGGCUACGCUUAAA
rfam:Oryza sativa (indica cultivar-group) chromosome 1, whole genome shotgun sequence.